UGCUUCCUCCAAUUUCAUUAAUCGUCCAACAUAUGAAUCUCACCAUCAUAAUAUCCCUUCACUUCCGGUGAUAACUCUGAUUCGGAGAACCUCACUUAACUACACGAACACCAUUUACCAUUGAUUUGCAACCUCCCAUCCAUUACUCCCUCACCCACUGAAAAUCACAUCCGCGUGCAACCUCUUCAUCAUAACCACCAUUUCACAACAUACCCGCCUCACAAUUGUACUGAACAACCAAAAUUGAACUCCUUUAUUUUUU
rnacentral:lncRNA from 1 species